rnacentral:rRNA from 1 species
UGGUCUUGACAUACCAUUGACCGUUCUAGAGAUAGGAUUUUUUCUUCGGAAACAAUGGAUACAGGUGCUGCAUGGUUGUCGUCAGCUCGUGUCGUGAGAUGUUGGGUUAAGUCCCGCAACGAGCGCAACCCUUGUCCUUAGUUGCUAGCAGGUAAUGCUGAGAACUCUAAGGAGACUGCCCUCGCAAGGGGGAGGAAGGUGAGGAUGACGUCAAAUCAUCAUGGCCCUUACGACCAGGGCUAGACACGUGCUACAAUGGCCGGUACAAUGGGUUGCUACUUGGUGACAAGAUGCUAAUCUCAAAAAACCGGUCUCAGUUCGGAUAGUAGUCUGCAACUCGACUACUUGAAGUUGGAAUCGCUAGUAAUCGUGGGUCAGCAUACCACGGUGAAUACGUUCCCGGGCCU